AGUGAACGCUGGCGGUAGGCCUAACACAUGCAAGUCGAACGGCAGCACAGUAAGAGCUUGCUCUUACGGGUGGCGAGUGGCGGACGGGUGAGGAAUACAUCGGAAUCUACUUUUUCGUGGGGGAUAACGUAGGGAAACUUACGCUAAUACCGCAUACGACCUACGGGUGAAAGCAGGGGAUCUUCGGACCUUGCGCGAUUGAAUGAGCCGAUGUCGGAUUAGCUAGUUGGCGGGGUAAAGGCCCACCAAGGCGACGAUCCGUAGCUGGUCUGAGAGGAUGGGGAGCCACCAUGGGAAGGGGAACGGGGCCAGAGGUCCUGGGGGAGGGGCCAGGGGGAAAUGUGGGGCAGGGGGGGGAAGCAUGGUCCAGCCAUCGGGGGGGGGAGAAAAGGGCGUUGGGUUGGGAAUGCCGUUUUGUGGGGAAAAAAAAGCAGAAGCUUAUGACCCCGCGUUUGUGACGGUACCCAAUAAAGAAGCACCGGCUAACUCCGUG
rnacentral:rRNA from 1 species